CAAAGGGGACACGUACACCCGCGGUUGUGGCUUCCCGGAUCCCUCCUCUCCCCCUGCUUGGGACUGCGGCUGUUCCAGAGAGCUGAGGGGCUCGGGGAGGGAGGUGAUGGUGGGAUCCUGCAUCUCCUCAGGACUGGGUCUUGCAGGGGCGUUGUGAGGAGCUGGGGAUCCCCAAAUUGUUCUGAAAGGCAGGCCAGGCUGCCCUAGCGAGGGACAGUAGAGGUAUGGUGGAGAAGAAGACAAGGUCUUUCUUCUUGCAUUGCCUCACCACGCUGGGGUGGGAGCCUGACUUUGGAGAGUUAGAGACCUCAGUGGCAGCCCCACUGCGUUGUGGCUGUGUUUGGUCUGGGGUACAAAGCCCUGGGGUGGUCGUUUUGAAGCCCUGUAGCUGGCAGAUCUUUGGGGAAGCACCUCCCCAAGCCCAUAAGUCACAUCACAAGUCUGGGCUCCUCGUGGUUCAGGCCUGGGUCAGAGCAGGCUGACCAAAAAUUCCCUGUGAAGGUCAAACACCUUCUGGCCUCUUCCAUUGCUCACGUCAGGUAUUUAUUUCCCUGCAGCACCCACACCUGUUGGAAGUUCUCCAUCCCUGUAGCAUUCCAAGCCCUGGGUGGAAGGCUUUGCCAGAGCUGGAGACCCCAUCCCCAAGAUGCAGAAGCGACUCUGGCUGUGAUGGAGCUCAGCACCACGGUGAUGGGAGCUGAGGACACCCCUGCAAUGAGAUGGUGAGGGGAGACGUGAGCAACGGGCAGAGCUGGCGCUUUCCUCCUCCAACCUUGCCCAAGGAACCCUGUGCUGGGGAGUGGCAUCACCUCUGCAGACACACCAUGGCCAGCCAAGCAGCUCCUGGAGUCCUGUGAUCACUGCCGAGUCUCUGCCUUCAUUUCAGGCCAGGAAGACUUCUGGAGCCAUCCUUGCUGGAGAGCACAGAGGGAAAAGUAAAUCUUUAAAGGCUCAAAACACAGGAAAUUAAUACAAAAAUAAAUAACCCCCAUAACAUUUAA